rnacentral:rRNA from 1 species
UGGUGGAGUGAUUUGUCUGGUUAAUUCCGAUAACGAACGAGACCUUAACCUGCUAAAUAGCCGGGUCGACAUUUGUUGAUCAAUGGCUUCUUAGAGGGACUAUUGAUGUUUAAUCAAUGGAAGUUUGAGGCAAUAACA